CUAAGACUGUCCCUCGUGACAACUGUCAUCUUCAUCCUAUUGUCCUCUUCAACACCUGGAACUUUAGUUGCCAAGAGCUACAUCGGGUCUAUACUCUCUCACAUACCUGAAAGUAUGACACUGAGGUCUAUGGAGGAUCCUGAGCAAUUGCGGCCUCCUCCAUUGACAGAGCCUGAAUCCCACAGCUAUCAUUUGCGAUGGCUGCUGGGAUUGGACAAAGGUUGUCCAACCUUGGGCUUUACCAUAAAACAUAGUAGUCCC